ACCUUGUUGACCCAAAAGGACAUGCAGAAUAGAUAGCUUUUCUACAGAAGAUGAUGGGAUACAUGAGUCAAGCUUUAGGGGGAGGCAGAUAACGGACUGCUACAUCAAUGCAAUUGUUUAAUUUUUACUUAUAUUCAAACUCAGAAUUAAACUGAGAUUCCAACUAAGAAAAAAGUUGAUAAUAUCACAAACUCAUCAAAAUAACACUUUACAUUACAUUUGACAGUUUAGUCACUUAGCAGACAUUCUCAUCCAGAGCGACUAACAGUUGGAGCGUUCAUCUUAAAAUAGCAAGGCAGAAACUCAAACAGGAUGUUCCCGUGACAAGGACUAUUCAAUGCUGGUCUGACCAAUUGGAAUCCACGCUUCAAGAUUGUUUUGGUCAUGCGGACUGGGACGUGUUCCGGGUAGCCUCAGAGAAUAAUAUUGAUUUAUACGCUGGUUCGG
rnacentral:lncRNA from 1 species